GGGGAAUUUUCCGCAAUGGGCGAAAGCCUGACGGAGCAAGACCGCGUGGGGGAAGAAGGCUCUUGGGUUGUAAACUCCUUUUCUCUGGGAAGAACAAAAUGACGGUACCAGAGGAAUCAGCAUCGGCUAACUCCGUGCCAGCAGCCGCGGUAAGACGGAGGAUGCAAGCGUUAUCCGGAAUGAUUGGGCGUAAAGCGUCCGCAGGUGGCAGUUCAAGUCUGCUGUCAAAGACCGGGGCUUAACCUCGGAAAGGCAGUGGAAACUGAACAGCUAGAGUAUGGUAGGGGCAAAGGGAAUUCCUGGUGUAGCGGUGAAAUGCGUAGAGAUCAGGAAGAACAUCGGUGGCGAAGGCGCUUUGCUGGACCAUAACUGACACUCAGGGACGAAAGCUAGGGGAGCGAAAGGGAUUAGAUACCCCUGUAGUCA
rnacentral:rRNA from 1 species